rnacentral:rRNA from 1 species
GAUGAACGCUGGCGGCGUGCCUAAUACAUGCAAGUCGAGCGAACAGACGAGGAGCUUGCUCCUCUGACGUUAGCGGCGGACGGGUGAGGAACACGUGGAUAACCUACCUAUAAGACUGGGAUAACUUCGGGAAACCGGAGCUAAUACCGGAUAAUAUAUUGAACCGCAUGGUUCAAUAGUGAAAGACGGUUUUGCUGUCACUUAUAGAUGGAUACGCGCCGCAUUAGCUAGUUGGUAAGGUAACGGCUUACCAAGGCAACGAUGCGUAGCCGACCCGAGAGGGUGAUCGGCCACACUGGAACUGAGACACGGUCCAGACUCCUACGGGAGGCAGCAGUAGGGAAUCUUCCGCAAUGGGCGAAAGCUUGACGGAGCAACGCCGCGUGAGUGAUGAAGGUCUUCGGAUCGUAAAACUCUGUUAUUAGGGAAGAACAAAUGUGUAAGUAACUAUGCACGUCUUGACGGUACCUAAUCAGAAAGCCACGGCUAACUACGUG